ACCAAGACGAGGCCUGCGACGUGGGGAAUAGGUAGGGGCCUAGGGGUGGCUGGAUUUAUUGGCGUGAAAGAGGUCGUGGGCGUUUCGGUAAGGCAGGGGUGAAAUGUCCACGCUCAACGGGGAGGAGCCACCUGAUACUGCCGUGACGUGAGUCCGGUAGGGGAGUGUGGAAUUCCCGGUGUAGCGGUGAAAUGCGCAGAUAUCGGGAGGAACACCAGUAGCGAAGGCGGCACUCUGGGCCGGUACUGACGCUGAGGAGCGAAAGCGUGGGGAGCAAACAGGAUUAGAUACCCCUGUAGUC
rnacentral:rRNA from 1 species